rnacentral:rRNA from 1 species
AUUGAACGCUGGCGGCAGGCCUAACACAUGCAAGUCGAGCGGAAGAAGGGAGCUUGCUCCUGGAUUCAGCGGCGGACGGGUGAGUAAUGCCUAGGAAUCUGCCUGGUAGUGGGGGAUAACGUCCGGAAACGGGCGCUAAUACCGCAUACGUCCUGAGGGAGAAAGGGGGGGAUCUUCGGACCUCACGCCAUCAGAUGAGCCUAGGGCGGAUUAGCUAGUUGGUGGGGUAAAGGCCUACCAAGGCGACGAUCCGUAACUGGUCUGAGAGGAUGAUCAGUCACACUGGAACUGAGACACGGUCCAGACUCCUACGGGAGGCAGCAGUGGGGAAUAUUGGACAAUGGGCGAAAGCCUGAUCCAGCCAUGCCGCGUGUGUGAAGAAGGUCUUCGGAUUGUAAAGCACUUUAAGUUGGGAGGAAGGGCAGUAAGUUAAUACCUUGCUGUUUUGACGUUACCAACAGAAUAAGCACCGGCUAACUUCGUG